AGCAAAGAGAUACGUUGAGAAAUGGUACGGAUCUACAUAAAAUACAAUUCAUCCUUGGAUAAAAUGGUACUGAUCUACAUAAAAUAUAAUUCACCCUUGGAUAUAAUAUCUGAAAUGCGUAAAUGUUAUGGUUCAAUGUUCAAGUUAGCUAGUGAAGUAAAAGGAAAUCGGUUGUCUGGAGGACUCUCUGGGUUUCUGCAUUUGGAUCAUCUACCGUUUAGCUGCUGACGAGAAGCAUAUGCUCUGCUGCACUUGUUUAAACUUCUAUCCUGUAAAGAAAAUUCGUGAAUGCAUCAUAUGCCAGGAUUAUUUUCCCUGAAAUGGGAGGGCAGCGCAGUUUUAAUUUAGCAGUUGUGGGAUCCGGGAAAGAAAAGGGUAAAGAAGAGUUAAAGGUUUUAGGGCAAGCUAGGAAGAAGAUGAAAGCCUUGAGCGGAAGGAAGAGGUCCGCAGACGCGGCCGUUGACAACUUAUUUAAGAAGAGGAGGCAAUCUAUAGCUUGCGAGGAAGUCGAACAAGAUAAUGUGAGCUUAGAGCUUUCGAAGAAUGGUAAAUACCCUCAGAGUGUGAUAAAGGCUGAGGAUUGGUCUGUUGCUACUCGAGAAUUACGACCGAGGAAGCAUCAGCUACCAUUUGCUGAGAAUAUCAUUAAAAAGAAUGAUGAAGGCACAAUAAUUGGGACUAGAGUAAAGGUCUUUUGGCCUCUGGACGAUGACUGGUAUGCUGGAACAGUUGAGUCUUUUGACAGAAACCUAAAAAGACACCACAUAGUAUAUGAUGACGGCGACGAGGAAUGGCUUGAGCUUGCACGAGAAAGAUUCAAAAUCCAACUUUUCCCAGAUGAUAGGUUUAGGAAAGCCAGUUCUUUAGUUUGGUCAGAUAAACUGGGGGUGCGGCGUCCUGAUAGGAUUAAUCAGUCCAGAAGAAAAGUCAAGAAUGGGAAAAGGAAAAGUGGGCGAAGAAUCGGAAAGUUAUGUAGCACAGAGAAGGAGAAAGUUAUACUAGCAAAGGCAAUGGAUUGCGAGGAGGUGGCAAAGAUGCUAAUUUUAAAGAAGACUGCACCGAGAUCAAAGAGAGCAAGAAUUGCAAAACAGUUCAAUCAAAAACAUUCUGGUCAAAAUCUCACAAAAGAUGUAAAUUGUGAGAUUGUGAGUGCAAAUGAUGGCGAAUUGCUGCACGUUAGGCACCAGGAUGCUCAAGACGUUGAAAGGAAGAUUGGCUUGGAUGCUAAUUUGGGCAAGAUUGAUGGUGCGGACGGUAGCAGACAGGGAGAGAGGCAAAGUUUUGAUCAGGUUGACAAUUUACUUGGAAAGGAGAUCAAUAUACAGGAAGAAAUUUCCUAUACUCUUCAAGCAGGGAAACAGGUUCAACAUAGCGAUGACAAAGAGUCUGUUAUCUCCACGGAAGUCAAUGAAAUGAAGUCCGAAAAGCAGAUAAAAAAAUUUGAUAAAAAUGAGCAAACUGAAAUUCACGUCAAUCAGUUGGACACGAAUCUAACACCUGAAAGGGAAUUUUCAAAUCAGGGUUGUCAGUUUGCCGAGGAUAAGACAACUGUAGAGUCAAGGCCAAACCUUACUCACUAUCCUGAAGAAAUGCAGCCAAAUGUUGAGGGGAUCUAUCAGAAUGUCUGUGGAAAGCAGGCAUUUGCUAGGAUCAGUAAUGAAAGUGUUAACGAAAAGCUGGAAAGUUCUGACAUGGUUAACAUACAUGGAAAGUCACAGGGAAUCGUAGACAACUUAGCUGAAAAGCACCCCUAUGGAAUAAGUAAUGAUGAAAAAGAAGCUGAAAAUCAAGUAAGCUGGGAUCUUGAUAGUGUGCUUGGCAACAAGCAUGGAAUUAGAAGGCAGCGUAGCGUUAUGAAAAUCAGAUUGAGAGAUUCAAUUUCAGCCACAGAUAGCCUGUCCAAUUCUAAUAGAGAGGGCCAUAUUGUGAACAGACGGGACCUACAAUCCAGCCCCAGUAGGGAUGGCUUAUCUGGCCAUAGGCAGAAAAAUAUCGAAUGGAAGCCAUAGGUUAAAUACAUCAUAUAAUGGCAAAUAGAGAAGCUUUUGGAUCAAGUUCAGCUUCAGGCUGCUCCCCAUUUGUGCUACUAUCGAUUACAGGAACUUGACCUACUAGAGCUAGAGAUUUGCUUGGAAGUAUGUUGUGCAACAACAGAUGCCGAGGUCAAUUAUUUCAUUAAAUGUCAAAAGCUAUAUCAUGGAGGCAUAAAUUGCCUCAAAUACCAUCUUGCAGGCAUUACUCAUUGUGAUGCCAGGCCUUAUACCCACACUACCAAAGAGGUAAAAAGAGAGAUGAAUACUCAACUUGCAUUGGUAGAAGAGAAAAAAUUGCAAACGGAGAAGACAAGGGCAGCCAUAGCAGCAUCCAUAGCUAGUGGUAUGGUCCUCAAGUGCAACCAAAAUCAGAUGAAGAGACGACAUGUCAAGGCAUAGUAGGCUCUCUUUGUGGUCCACUCAUCUGAAGCACAUUGACCUCCACUUCAUCUACUUCAAGUAGAGUGCUAGUGCCUACACCUAUACACACACCACAUAGUUUUUUUGUGCCCAGAAACAAAACUAGAGCAGAACCAUCAUUAGAAGCUACAGGAUGGAACUUUGAAGGUGCAUGAACAUGUAGAUAUGGCAUGUUCCGAUUUUUGGUACUUCAACAACAUUCUUUUCAAUGUGGCAAGUAGUCCUUAUUGGGAGAAUUUGGUAACUACAUUGAUAGUUGCGGGAAAAGGCUAUAAGAUGCCUUCUCAUAAAGACUUGAUUGGGAGGUACUAAAUGAUGAGGGUGGCUAAAGUAGCAUGUUAAACAUGUAGGAAAACACUCAACAUGUGUGUUUUCCGAACCACGCCUCCAAUAUAUAUGUCUUAUUCUGGUUUGAGACAACCAUUGUGUGUGAGCCAAUGCUCUUAUGGUACAAUUAAUAUACCUUUGCCAUAUAUACAGAAUAGAACAAAAAGUGUAUUGAAUUAAAAGGCUGCCUCAAGUUCCUCAGUAACAAUUUAGGGGAUCUGAUAUUUGCCUUGUUUAGUUAGCCUUUCAAGCUAGUUGAGCACUUAUCCAUUUCUAUCUAAAAUCAUGUCUCUUCUUUU